rnacentral:rRNA from 1 species
UGAAUACGAGACGCUAAGGCGUCGAAGUAGUGUAUAUCAGACUUCCAAGAAAAGCUUGCACUGUCAUAGAUAAAAAAUGCCUGUACCAUAACCGACACAGGUGGGUAGGUAGAGUAUACUAAGGGGCGCGAGAUAACUCUCUCUAAGGAACUCGGCAAAAUAACUCCGUAACUUCGGGAGAAGGAGUGCCUUAUUUAUAAGGUUGCAAUAACAAGAUCCAAGCAACUGUUUAUCAAAACACAGGUCUCCGCUAAGUCGUAAGACGAUGUAUGGGGGCUGACGCCUGCCCAGUGCCAGAAGGUUAAAGAAGUUGGUUAGCAAUUGCGAAGCUGAUAACUGAAGCCCUGGUGAACGACGGCCGUAACUAUAACGGUCCUAAGGUAGCGAAAUUCCUUGUCGGGUAAGUUCCGACCCGCACGAAAGGCGUAAUGAUUUGGAUACUGUCUCGGAGAGGGGCUCGGUGAAAUAGACUUGUCUGUGAAGAUGCGGACUACCUGCACCAGGACAGAAAGACCCUAUGAAGCUUUACUGUAACUUGAAAUUGAAAUUGGACUUUAUUCGCGCAGCAUAGGUGGGAGGCGUUGAUUAUAAUCUUGCGGGAUUAUUGGAGCCAUCAGUGAGAUACCACUCUUGUAAUGUUAGAUUUCUAACUUUGAAUCAUUAUCUGGUCAAAGAACAGUUUCAGGCGGGCAGUUUGACUGGGGCGGUCGCCUCCUAAAUGGUAACGGAGGCGUACAAAGGUUUCCUCUGAACGGUUAGAAAUCGUAUCUAGAGUGUAAAGGCAUAAGGAAGCUUGACUGUGAGACCUACAAGUCGAGCAGGGACGAAAGUCGGUCUUAGUGAUCUGACGGUACUGAGUGGAAAGGCCGUCACUCAACGGAUAAAAGUUACUCUAGGAUAACAGGCUGAUCUCCCCCAAGAGUUCACAUCGACGGGGAGGUUUGGCACCUCGAUGUCGGCUCAUCGCAUCCUGGGGCGGUAGUACGUCCCAAGGGUUGGGCCGUUCGCCCAUGAAAGCGGUACGCGAGCUGGGUUCAGAACGUCGUGAGACAGUUCGGUCCAUAUCCGGUGUAGGCGUUAGAAUAUUGAGAGGAGCCUUCUUUAGUACGAGAGGACCGAGAAGGACAUACCUCUGGUGUACCAGUUAUCGUGCCAACGGUAAACGCUGGGUAGCUAUGUAUGGAGUGGAUAACCGCUGAAAGCAUCUAAGUGGGAAGCCCACCUCAAGAUAAGUAUUCU